AUACGGAGGGUGCAAGCGUUAUUCGGAAUCACUGAGCGUAAAGGACGCGUAGGCGGGUUGGCAAGUCAGAUGUGAAAUCCUACAGCUUAACUGUAGAACUGCAUUUGAAACUGCUAACCUAGAGUAUGGGAGGGGGAGAUGGAAUUAGUGGUGUAGGGGUAAAAUCCGUAGAUAUCACUAGGAAUACCGAAAGCGAAGGCGAUCUCCUGGAACAUAACUGACGCUAAGGCGUGAAAGCGUGGGGAGCAAACAGGAUUAGAUACCCCAGUAGUCC
rnacentral:rRNA from 1 species